AUGGAGAAUGCAUGUCAAGUGGCCAUGGAAUUUAAAUCCGGAGGACACACCAGAAGUCAUAGUAACAUACUGGAACAAUUGUGUGGCCAACGAGGCAACAACAGAGGAAACCACAGCAGAACAUGGAGGGAAGGUGGAACCAAUCAUUGUAGAACCCUAGAGGAACAGAAAUACAGAACACAGGAUGGACUGGAGAUGUCUAUUUUCAAUUGUCUUUUGUUUUAAACCAGUGUUAUCUUCAUGUCACACGACUUAGGCACUAGCUAUGUCACUCCCUGCUACCAACACACAACCCCUAGCACAAUGUCCUAGUGGACCUUAAAACCUAGUAGUCAAUAGAAUUUUCAAAGCCAAGUGGUUUGAUUUUAUUUCUGUGAAUGAACUUCACACAUAUUCCUUAAACACACAUCUGUGACACACUGCAACACCGAAUAAUAAGAUACACUGUACAUAUAAGCUAUAUUUAGUUAUAAAAUGUCAUUGGAUUGUUUAGAUAAGAAUAAUUAUUAUUAUUAAUAAAGAACAAAAAUGUCAUCUAUAAAAUAUGUAAACUUUUUGUGAAUUACAGGUUUGUUUACAUACAAAUAUAAACAUAUUGUUAUUAUUGUUGUUAUUGUUGUUGUUAUUAUUAUUAUUAUUAAGAUCUGUCUGGCCUACCUUAUAUCCAUCUCUGGCAACUGAUUCUAAUUUUUAUCUAUUAAAUAUAUUCCUAUUGAAUGCUCUCUAAGAAAUGUACCAUUGCUCAUCAGAUCUUAAUUUGUAAAAAAAAAUAAAAAAUAAUUCCUUUUAUCUGUAACCUGUUGUUUCUAUCCCUUAAUUUGUGUUGGACUCCCCUAGAACCCUCAAAUGAAUCUCUGAACCUGCUGUUUAAUUUGUGUUGGACUCCCCUAGAACCCUCAAAUGAAUCUCUGAAGCUGCUGUUUAAUUUGUGUUGGACUCCCCUAGAACCCUCAAAUGAAUCUCUGAACCUGCUGUUUAAUUUGUGUUGGACUCCCCUAGAACCCUCAAAUGAAUCUCUGAACCUGCUGUUUAAUUUGUGUUGGACUCCCCUAGAACCCUCAAAUUAAUCUCUGAACCUGCUGUUUAAUUUGUGUUGGACUCCUCUAGAACCCUCAAAAUCAUCUCUAGACCUGCUAUUUUUUCAUUCUCCCCCUGUAAUCAGGAAUGUAUAUAAACCUGGGCCACCAGGUGGGAGUUAAUGAUCAGGUAGAACAGAAAAUCAUCUGGCUCCGGACCUCGUAGGGUAGGAUUUGAAUAUCCCAUGCCCUUGCACAGGGGUAGGCAACCAACCCCGUUCCUGGAGAGCCGUAGGUACUGUACUACAGCAUGUUGUCCCAACUAGGCACCUCGUCUAACCAACUGAGAUAAUGAAUCAGUCCAGUGAGCCUAAAUUCAAUACACCUGGUGUUCUUCCAGGUCGGUUAAAGGAAAAAACAUGAAGUGCCUGCAGCCCUCUAGGGUUGCCUAGCCCUGCCCUAGCGUCUCUGUGCUCCCCUUUGCUCCUGUAACAACUGUAGUAUUGCCACAGUAGUCUAUGAAAUAACACAUGUAGAAAAGCGUUUAUUCUCCUAACAUUCCUCUCGGGGAGAAGUCUAUCUUGUGUACGAAAUUGUUUGGUCUAUUUUUCUAUUUGUAUGUUUAAUACCUAAACAUGGCAAAUAAAAAUAUAUAUUUAAUCAGAAUACAAAUGAGUAAUUACCACCACCUACUCAUUAUCUUUGUGUGUGUGUGUGUGUGUGUGUGUGUGUAUUUCGUAUCUAUUGAAUUUCACCAGAGAGGUUGGCGGAGGCUAAUUAUACUAUCUACCAAAAUCAGUUGACUUUCAACGUGAUCAAAGCAACAACUCUGGUUUCUAUGGUUACCACCCCGGAUAGACUGACAGGACAAACAUAUAUUGAACUAAAAUAUAAACGCAACAUGCAACCAUUUCAAAGAUCUUAUUGCGUUACAGUUCAUAGAAGAAGAAAAAAUCUGUCAUUUGAAAGAAAUUAAUCUUGGCCUCAUCUGUGGAUUUCACAUGAC
ensembl:lncRNA